rnacentral:sRNA from 1 species
AUAUCCAAUUGUUGAGUGAGGCUCCUGUAUGGAGAUAAGCUAUUGCCCAGAAAUGUCCAGAGACACCAAUGGGUAGAACAGAUAGCAGACCGAAUUAAGGCCUAUCUAAGAUAGCUGACUAAUAUAGUCUAUGUCAUACAGUGCUAAAGCUUAGACGAGGAGUUGGGUGC